CAAGAAGGUCAGGGAGCCUAACUCAAGCCCUGAGCUCUGCCCAGCCCACACCUCUCAGGGCAGGAGGCCAUCUGGGUUAUUGAGGUGCUAGCAGGUUCUAGCAACAGGAGGCAGCUGAUGGGGGUGUGUCCUCCUUGCCCCCGGAGUCGGAGAUGUGGGAAAGUUGCGGGCUGGAUCUGGGAGGCACCAGGUCAUGUGAGGCAGAGAAAACCAGGAGGCCAGGCCACUGGGCACAGCUGCCAGUGCCUUAGACCAGAACUGGUGCCCUUCCUCCCUUUUCUUCUUUCCUCCUCCCUCCCUCCCUUCCUUCCCUGCUUAUUGGCAGUGUUCAUCUGUGCAACGUACUAGGAGUAUACAGAAUAUGUAUUCCUAGUAUGAGGAAUAGUCCUAAUCCUACUGUAACGGAUUGUGUGUGACUUCUGGGAGAUUACAGACGAACGGGGAGACAGACAGACUAAAGAUUAAAGUCUGACUUCGUGGAGCUCACCUGUGAGUGGGGAUGCAGGUGACCACAUGGCAAGCUCUGGCCAAUGGGGUGA
rnacentral:lncRNA from 1 species